UACGGAGGGUGCAAGCGUUAUCCGGAUUUAUUGGGUUUAAAGGGUACGUAGGCGGCAUUGUAAGUCAGUGGUGAAAGCCAACAGCUUAACUGUUGAAUUGCCAUUGAUACUGCUUUGCUUGAGUAUAGUCGAAGUAGGUGGAAUUCCACAUGUAGUGGUGAAAUGCAUAGAUAUGUGGAGGAACGCCGAUAACGAAGGUAGCUUACUAGGCUAUUACUGACGCUGAGGUACGAAAGCGUGGGGAGCGAACGGG
rnacentral:rRNA from 1 species